rnacentral:rRNA from 1 species
GACAGAGGGGGCAAGCGUUGUUCGGAAUUACUGGGCGUAAAGGGCUCGUAGGCGGCCAACUAAGUCAGACGUGAAAUCCCCGGGCUCAACCCGGGAACUGCGUCCGAAACUGGCAGGCUCGAAUUCGGGAGAGGGAUGCGGAAUUCCAGGUGUAGCGGUGAAAUGCGUAGAUAUCUGGAGGAACAUCGGUGGCGAAGGCGGCAUCCUGGACCGAUAUUGACGCUGAGGCGCGAAAGCCAGGGGAGCAAACGGG